rnacentral:rRNA from 1 species
AUUGAACGCUGGCGGCAGGCCUAACACAUGCAAGUCGAACGAGUGGCGGACGGGUGAGUAAUGUAUGGGAAACUGCCCGAUGGAUGGGGGUAACUACUGGAAACGGUAACUAAUACCGCAUACCAUCGGAUUAGACCAGAUGGGAUUAGCUAGUAGGUGGGGUAACGGCUCAACAAGGCGACGAUCCCUAGCUGAUCUGAGAGGAUGACCAGCCACACUGGAACUGAGACACGGUCCAGACUCCUACGGGAGGCAGAAGUGGGGAAUAUUGCACAAUGGGCGAAAGCCUGAUGCAGCCAUGCCGCGUGUAUGAAGAAGGCCUUCGGGUUGUAAAGUACUUUCAGUGAGGAGGCGUUACUCGCAGAAGAAGCACCGGCUAACUCCGUGCCAGCAGCCGCGGUAAUUC